GCCGUUCUAGCUCAGUUGGUAUAGUAGUGGUUUUUAAUAACGGGGUCGUGGGUUCAAAUCCUACGGAUGGCA
rnacentral:tRNA from 1 species